AUGGAGGAGAUACUGAGCAGACAAGACCAUGGUGCCGGCCACCGCCGCCAGCAAACAGCCGGCCAGGGCCACGUCGCGGUAAACGUCCAUGGCGCGACACCAAGCCGCUUUCUCCUAGGCGUGGCGAGCAACGGGAACACGGCUCUGCACCUUGUCGCCGCCAGCCGCGGCCACGUCGAGCUGGCGACGCUCCUCUGCGAGAGGGCGCCCUCGCUGGUCACCGCGCGCAACAAGUGCCUCGACACUCCGCUGCACUGCGUGGCGAGGUUCGGCCAUGCGGAUGUGGCGGCUGUGCUCUUGCCGAGGAUGCGAGCCGGCGGGGCGGAGGAGGAGUCCGCGCUGCGCGCGAGGAACCAGUCGGGCGCAACCGCCUUGUACGAAGCCGUCCGGCACGGGCGUGCCGGUGUGGUGGAUCUGCUCAUGACGGAGGCUCCCGAUCUGGCCUCCGUUGACGGCGACGAGGGUGUCUCGCCGCUCUACCUGGCGGCGGUGACCGGCUCGAUCCCGAUGGUCCGCGCGCUGCUACGCCCGUCGCAAAACGGAACACCCUCGGCGGCGUUGUUUUCUGGUCCGGAGAGACGGACUGCUUUGCAUGCUGCGGCGGCUAGGAGCAGAGAAAUGGCUGAAGCAAUACUGAGCUCGAGCUGGGGGCCAGAAGGUCCAACGUUGCUAACCAGGGCUGAUUCGUCAGGGAGCACGCCUCUCCAUUUUGCAGUACUGUAUGGACGGAUUGCUGCUAUGGUGGGACAAACUAGAAUCAUGGAGGAGCUCAUACACAGAAUCCCUGACUGCUAUGAGAUGGUUGAUGGUAAAGGAAGAAAUAUUCUGCACUGUGCUGUGGAGCAUGGUCGGGAAACCGCGGUUCGCCAUAUUUGCCGGAAUGACAUGUUCUCGAUGCUGUGGAAUGCUACGGAUUCUGGAGGGAACACUCCACUCCAUCUGGCUGCCCAUCAUGGAUAUCCCAAGAUUGUCAUUUUACUACUGAAGACGACAAGUGUGGAGACAAGCAUUACCAACAACGAUGGGCUAACUGCUAUGGAUCCUGCUAUCCGUGCAAUAGUACCUGGCCGGAUGUACUAUUUCCAGGAUCCUCAUAUUAUUGUGCGCAGUUGUCUGGGCUGGUUGGGGGCAGCGAUUACUUUAGAUGGAGUCCACCCCCUUUAUCUUCGUAACGUGUACAACAAACCCACUCGUGAAGAAGCAUCACAUAAACAAGACAUGAUUACAGAAAGUAGAACAAUCGUGUCAGUGCUAAUCGCCACCAUGGCCUUCGGNNNNNNNNNNNNNNNNNNNNNNNNGUUCGUCGCCGACGACCAUGGGCAUGCAGGGACAGCAACGCUGGCGAGACGUUUCGCGUUCCGGGCAUUUGUGAUUUCAGACACCAUGGCCUUCCUCUGCUCCCUUACCGCGACCUGCUUUCUUAUAUAUGGUGGUGCAAGAGAAAUUCCGCGGGUCCACCGUCACUUGUACAACUUGCUGGCAACUGGCUUGGUGCCGGUGGGAUCUCAAUGUAUGAUUGCUGCGUUUGCAUUCGGGUUUCACCUCAUCCUGGGUUCAGUCAACCGUUGGGUCAUCAUCCUCGUAUACACCUUGUCCUUAGCUUCAGUGCUUCUCUGCUUCCCUGGCAUCUGGGCUCCGUUCCAUCUGGGGCUGGGGAAGGCGAUAUGGCGUCGAGCCGGAUGGAGAGGAUUUAUCAACAUACACGUGUUCCAAAGUCUUAGACGAGCAUUGUUCGUUUUGCUCAUCUCUGCUACGUUCAUUGUCGCCAUCGUACUCAGUAUUGCUUUGCCAAACUACUGA
rnacentral:rRNA from 1 species